GUAUAACGAUGUUGUUAAAAUAUUUUGACUUGGGAAAAGAAGGAUUCAAAUGUAUUUGACGUCAUUUGUAUAUCACGGACCAAUCAGGGGAGAGGUCAAAGGUUAUGGGGUUAGGCGCCGCGGGAGUGAAGAAGAAGAAGACUGGAGGAGAGAGCGAUGUGAAGGCACUAGCAGGGAAGGAGCUGCUGUGUAGUUAGCUAGACGUUAACAGUGAAAAUGCGUAACUCACGCAUUUCUACUAACUGCUGAGAUAGAAUAAUGUAAGUGCACAACCCGUGAACUUUAAACGUUUUAUAUAUCUGAGGGUCGGAGUGUUUUGGAACAAUUUCUUCGACGAGGAGUCAAAGUUCUGCCAGCCUGCUAGUGAAUGUGCGUGAGAUAGCUAGCUUUUCUGGCUUGUUCGCCAACAUAGUGAACUGGAAAGUGUCUGCGCAACACAGAAGAUACAACAGUGAGAGAAACUUCCCUACGCUUCGACAGACACUCCAUCUGGCUGCAACACGGUAUUUAGAGGAGAGGAACCGCACAAGCUGGCGAAUCAUGGAAUCUGUCCCUUGUGCUUGGAGGAGCAUGAUGGAAAGGCAUCCUCAGGUAUUGUAUCAGCCAAUGGCAUAUGUAUGUCUUUGUCAAGUAUUAGGCAGAAGUAACUGAAUGGAAUAAUGACAUGCUUUUGGGUAUCACAUAAUCAGUGAGAGUAAGACUGUUCCAUCUUUCAGCUCUGAUUCUUGUAUUUCCCCUACAUCACAAGACACUGUCUUUCUGGAGUCUUUCCUCUGGAAUCCUCAUCCUACUCACACACACACACAGUGUCUUGCUGACACACACACAACCCUAGUGACGUGCUCUACACCAUCACCCCAUACAACCCAACCCAACCCAACACACACACAGAGAGUCAGAUUUAUUUGGUUGCUAAUCAAUAUAUGCAUCAGGCCCUCUCGUGCUCGGCUCUGUUGUUGUGCAGUGCCUGGAAGACCCUUCUGUGUAGCACAAAGCCAGGAUUACAGGGGAGACAGCAGGAUCAUGAGAGCGUGCGAGUUCUGCCUUGGGCUUCGGCUAUGAAGCAGCUCGGGGAGGAGAGGCAAGGCAGAGGAUUACAUUUGACUCCAUUGCAGUCGGGAGACUCAGUCCCUCCAGCAGCUGCACGGGCUGAUGGAGUCUGCCUCCCUGCCCCAGCGGUUCCACAGACAUGCAGCUGA
rnacentral:lncRNA from 1 species